UAACUCUGGUUUCCCUUCAAAAGCGCAUAAUCUUUCCGCCUUUUACUAAAGAUUUUCCGUGGAGGGGAACAACUCUAAAUGAGUCUUACUCAAUUUUUUUCUAUACCCACUUCGGUGGGUUC